rnacentral:rRNA from 1 species
GAUGAACGCUAGCUACAGGCUUAACACAUGCAAGUCGAGGGACCGGCGCACGGGGGAGUAACACGUACCCAACCUGCCCUUUACCCGGGGAUAGCCUUUCGAAAGAAAGACUAAUACUCGAUACAAAGGAUGGGGAUGCGUUCCAUUAGGUUGUUGGUGAGGUAACGGCCCACCAAGCCUUCGAUGGAUAGGCGUCCUGAGAGGAAGGUCCCCCACGUUGGAACUGAGACACGGACCACACUCCUACGGAGGACAGGAGUGUGGAAUAUUGGUGAAUAGGCGUUAGCCUGGACCAGCCAAGUAGCUGAAAGGAUGAAGGCGUAUGGGUCGUAAGCUUCUUUUGUAUAAGAAUAGGUAUUAUAUGAGUAAGGAUCGGCUAACUCCGUGCCAGCAGCCGCGGUAAUUC